UGUACUCAUCAAAAGGAAAACACGUGGGAGAGAGAUUUCUGCCACCUCAGAUUCUGACUGAAUCUUUGGAUUUGAUCUGGAGAAACCAGUGCUACCCCCAACUCCACCACAACUGGCCUAUCUGGAACCCGCUACAUUGACCAAGCUGGCCUCAAAUUUGCAAUGAUUUUCUUCUCUGCCUAUCGAAUGCUGAUAUUAUAGGGAAAUACUCAGCUGCGGGGAGAGACUCCCAGAAACACCACCACACAACGUCGUAAGCUCCAUCUGGAUAAAGUUCUUUGGGGUCCUCUUGUUAGUCCCUCUUGGGAGACUGACAUCUGAAGCUGUUGUCACUUUAAACCCAUUGCCACGCCUGGCACAGCACGGGAAGGAGUAUGCCCAAGGAGAACUUGUUGAAUGCAAUUCCAUCUACAGGCUGGGUGAAGUCAAGCGCUCUUCCAUCUGCCAAAGGCUUUGGUGUUGCUAAUUUUGUUCUUAGAAAGCUUUCACACCAAUAAAUCUAUUCCUUAGGGUGUAUCUGAAAAUGCCUCUGGAAGUUCAAACAGAUAUGCGUGCCCUCUUAGGAGCAGUGCGGUGC